UUAACACAUGCAAGUCAACGAGAAAGGAUAUCUUCGGAUAUCUGAUUACACUGGCGGAUGGGUGAGUAACGCGUAGGCAACCUACCUUCAGGUUUGGGAUAACACUGCUAACGCGGUGCUAAUACCGGAUGGUACAUAUACACUGCAUGGUGUAUAUGUUAAAGCUGGCCACUGAUAUAAGCUAGUACCUGUAGAUGGGCUUGCGUUUCAUUAGUUAGUUGGUGGGGUAAUGGCUCACCAAGGCGACGAUGGAUAGCCGGCCUGAGAGGGUGAUCGGCCACACUGGGACUGAGAUACGGCCCAGACUCCUACGGGAGGCAGCAGUGAGGAAUAUUGCGCAAUGGCAGAAAUGCUGACGCAGCAACGCCGCGUGAGGGAUGAAGCUUUUCGGAGUGUAAACCUUUGUUAGGAGGGACGAACGGGCAUAAUACGAAUAGGGUUAUGCCGUGACGGUACCUCCAGAGGAAGCCCCGGCUAACUCCGUGCCAGCAGCCGCGGUAAUACGGGGGGGGCAAGCGUUGUCCGGAAUCAUUGGGCGCAAAGGGCGCGUAGGCUGACAGGUCAGUCUGUGGUGCAAUCUUGUGGCUUAACCGUAAGUUUGCCAUGGAAACUACCUGUCUUGAGAUCGGAAGGGGGAAGCGGAAUUCCUGGUGUAGCGGUGAAAUGCGUAGAUAUCAGGAAGAACACCGGUGGCGAAGGCGGCUUCCUGGUCCGAGACUGACGCUGAUGCGCGAAAGCGUGGGGAGCGAACAGGAUUAGAUACCCUGGUAGUCCACGCUGUAAACGAUGGGCACUAGGUGUUGGGCGUCAAGUUCAGCGCCGGAGCAAACGCAUUAAGUGCCCCGCCUGGGGAAUACGAUCGCAAGAUUGAAACUCANAGGAAUUGACGGGGGCCCGCACAAGCGGUGGAGCAUGUGGGUUAAUUCGAUGCAACGCGAAGA
rnacentral:rRNA from 1 species